UACGUAGGUCCCGAGCGUUGUCCGGAUUUAUUGGGCGUAAAGCGAGCGCAGGUGGUUUAUUAAGUCAGGUGUAAAAGGCAGUGGCUCAACCAUUGUAUGCAUUGGAAACUGGUAGACUUGAGUGCAGGAGAGGAGAGUGGAAUUCCAUGUGUAGCGGUGAAAUGCGUAGAUAUUAGGAGGAACACCAGUGGCGAAGGCGGCUUACUGGACGGCAACUGACGCUGAGGCUCGAAAGCGUGGGGAGCAAACAGG
rnacentral:rRNA from 1 species